rnacentral:rRNA from 1 species
GGUUAAGCGACUAAGCGUACACGGUGGAUGCCCUGGCAGUCAGAGGCGAUGAAGGACGUGCUAAUCUGCGAAAAGCGACGGCGAGGUGAUAUGAACCUUUGACCCGUCGAUGUCCGAAUGGGGAAACCCAGUGCAAUCCGUUGCACUAUCGUUAACUGAAUACAUAGGUUAACGAGGCGAACCGGGGGAACUGAAACAUCUAAGUACCCCGAGGAAAAGAAAUCAACCGAGAUUCCCCCAGUAGCGGCGAGCGAACGGGGAGCAGCCCGGAGUCUGAAUCAGCUUGUGUGUUAGUGGAAGCGUCUGGAAAGUCGCACGGUACAGGGUGACAGUCCCGUACACGAAAGCACACAGGUUGUGAACUCGAAGAGUAGGGCGGGACACGUGGUAUCCUGUCUGAAUAUGGGGGGACCAUCCUCCAAGGCUAAAUACUCCUGACUGACCGAUAGUGAACCAGUACCGUGAGGGAAAGGCGAAAAGAACCCCGGCGAGGGGAGUGAAAAAGAACCUGAAACCGUGUACGUACAAGCAGUGGGAGCACCUUCGUGGUGUGACUGCGUACCUUUUGUAUAAUGGGUCAGCGACUUAUAUUCUGUAGCAAGGUUAACCGUAUAGGGGAGCCGCAGGGAAACCGAGUCUUAACUGGGCGUUAAGUUGCAGGGUAUAGACCCGAAACCCGGUGAUCUAGCCAUGGGCAGGUUGAAGGUUGGGUAACACUAACUGGAGGACCGAACCGACUAAUGUUGAAAAAUUAGCGGAUGACCUGUGGCUGGGGGUGAAAGGCCAAUCAAACCGGGAGAUAGCUGGUUCUCCCCGAAAGCUAUUUAGGUAGCGCCUCGUGAACUCAUCUUCGGGGGUAGAGCACUGUUUCGGCUAGGGGGCCAUCCCGGCUUACCAACCCGAUGCAAACUACGAAUACCGAAGAAUGUUAUCACGGGAGACACACGGCGGGUGCUAACGUCCGUCGUGAAGAGGGAAACAACCCAGACCGCCAGCUAAGGUCCCAAAGUCAUGGUUAAGUGGGAAACGAUGUGGGAAGGCACAGACAGCCAGGAUGUUGGCUUAGAAGCAGCCAUCAUUUAAAGAAAGCGUAAUAGCUCACUGGUCGAGUCGGCCUGCGCGGAAGAUGUAACGGGGCUAAACCAUGCACCGAAGCUGCGGCAGCGACGCUUAUGCGUUGUUGGGUAGGGGAGCGUUCUGUAAGCCGUUGAAGGUGUGCUGUGAGGCAUGCUGGAGGUAUCAGAAGUGCGAAUGCUGACAUAAGUAACGAUAAAGCGGGUGAAAAGCCCGCUCGCCGGAAGACCAAGGGUUCCUGUCCAACGUUAAUCGGGGCAGGGUGAGUCGACCCCUAAGGCGAGGCCGAAAGGCGUAGUCGAUGGGAAACAGGUUAAUAUUCCUGUACUUGGUGUUACUGCGAAGGGGGGACGGAGAAGGCUAUGUCAGCCGGGCGACGGUUGUCCCGGUUUAAGCGUGUAGGUGUGUGUUCCAGGCAAAUCCGGUUCACUUUAACACUGAGGCGUGAUGACGAGGCACUACGGUGCUGAAGUGAUAAAUGCCCUGCUUCCAGGAAAAGCCUCUAAGCAUCAGGUAACACGAAAUCGUACCCCAAACCGACACAGGUGGUCAGGUAGAGAAUACCAAGGCGCUUGAGAGAACUCGGGUGAAGGAACUAGGCAAAAUGGUGCCGUAACUUCGGGAGAAGGCACGCUGAUAUGUAGGUGAAGUCCCUGCGGACGGAGCUGAAAUCAGUCGAAGAUACCAGCUGGCUGCAACUGUUUAUUAAAAACACAGCACUGUGCAAACACGAAAGUGGACGUAUACGGUGUGACGCCUGCCCGGUGCCGGAAGGUUAAUUGAUGGGGUUAGCGGCAACGCGAAGCUCUUGAUCGAAGCCCCGGUAAACGGCGGCCGUAACUAUAACGGUCCUAAGGUAGCGAAAUUCCUUGUCGGGUAAGUUCCGACCUGCACGAAUGGCGUAAUGAUGGCCAGGCUGUCUCCACCCGAGACUCAGUGAAAUUGAACUCGCUGUGAAGAUGCAGUGUACCCGCGGCAAGACGGAAAGACCCCGUGAACCUUUACUAUAGCUUGACACUGAACACUGGUCCUUGAUGUGUAGGAUAGGUGGGAGGCUUUGAAGCGUGGACGCCAGUCUGCGUGGAGCCGUCCUUGAAAUACCACCCUUUAAUGGCUGGUGUUCUAACGUGGACCCGUGAUCCGGGUUGCGGACAGUGUCUGGUGGGUAGUUUGACUGGGGCGGUCUCCUCCCAAAGAGUAACGGAGGAGCACGAAGGUUAGCUAAUCCUGGUCGGACAUCAGGAGGUUAGUGCAAUGGCAUAAGCUAGCUUGACUGCGAGAGUGACGGCUCGAGCAGGUGCGAAAGCAGGUCAUAGUGAUCCGGUGGUUCUGAAUGGAAGGGCCAUCGCUCAACGGAUAAAAGGUACUCCGGGGAUAACAGGCUGAUACCGCCCAAGAGUUCAUAUCGACGGCGGUGUUUGGCACCUCGAUGUCGGCUCAUCACAUCCUGGGGCUGAAGUAGGUCCCAAGGGUAUGGCUGUUCGCCAUUUAAAGUGGUACGCGAGCUGGGUUUAGAACGUCGUGAGACAGUUCGGUCCCUAUCUGCCGUGGGCGCUGGAGAAUUGAGGGGGGCUGCUCCUAGUACGAGAGGACCGGAGUGGACGCAUCACUGGUGUUCGGGUUGUCAUGCCAAUGGCACUGCCCGGUAGCUAAAUGCGGAAGAGAUAAGUGCUGAAAGCAUCUAAGCACGAAACUUGCCCCGAGAUGAGUUCUCCCUGAGACUUUAAGUCUCCUGAAGGAACGUUGAAGACGACGACGUUGAUAGGCCGGGUGUGUAAGCGCAGCGAUGCGUUGAGCUAACCGGUACUAAUGAACCGUGAGGCUUAACCUU